GUGCUUGCUUAAGGUGCAGCCAGAAAUUAUAACGGCACACCCGCCGAUGUAUUUUAACUGCCGGCGAACGUAUUCAUGCACGGGGGUAACGUACCGCGCUGACGAACUGGUAACGUUCAGGCACGCAGUACGGAAGCACACAACAUCUAUAAUGAGAUUGUUCGUCUUGGCGGGUGAAAGCAAUGGCAGGCGUUCGGGCUGAAAGAAAGUCGGCAU
rnacentral:misc_RNA from 1 species